rnacentral:ncRNA from 1 species
GUUCAAAUGAGGAAGGGCUUACGGUGGAUACCUAGGCACCCAGAGACGAGGAAGGGUGUGGUAAGCGACGAAAUGCUUCGGGGAGUUGAAAAUGAGCAUAGAUCCGGAGAUUCUCGAAUAGGUUAACCUUUUUAACUGAUGCUGAAUCCAUGGGCAGGCAAGAGACAACCUGGCGAACUGAAACAUCUUAGUAGCCAGAGGAAUAGAAAGAAAAAGCGAUUCCCGUAGUAGCGGUGAGCGAAAUGGGAGCAGCCUAAACUGUGAAAAUGGGGUUGUGGGAGAGCACAAUAUAAGCUCUAUGCUAUUAGGCGAAGCGGUUGAGUCAUGCACCCUAGACGGUGAGAGUCCAGUAGCCAAAAGCAUCAUUGGGUUACGCUCUAACCCGAGUAGCAUGGGGCAUGUGGAAUCCCGUGUGAAUCAGCAAGGACCACCUUGCAAGGCUAAA